GAUGAAGAACGUAGCGAAAUGCGAUAAGUAAUGUGAAUUGCAGAAUUCAGUGAAUCAUCGAAUCUUUGAACGCACAUUGCGCCCCUUGGUAUUCCGAGGGGCAUGCCUGUUCGAGCGUCAUUAUAACCCCUCAAGCUCAGCUUGGUGUUGGAGCCUGCUGCACUGGCAGCCCUUAAAAUCAGUGGCGGCGCCAUCUGGCUCUAAGCGUAGUAAUUCUUCUCGCUAUGGAGUCCUGGUGGAUGCUUGCCAUCAACCCCCAAUUUUUCUAUGGUUGACCUCGGAUCAGGUAGGGAUACCCGCUGAACUUAAGCAUAUCAAUAAGCGGAGGA
rnacentral:misc_RNA from 1 species